rnacentral:rRNA from 1 species
UACAGAGGUCUCAAGCGUUGUUCGGAUUCAUUGGGCGUAAAGGGUGUGUAGGUGGCGCGCUAAGUCGGGUGUGAAAUUUCGGAGCUUAACUCCGAAACUGCAUUCGAUACUGGCGUGCUUGAGGACUGGAGAGGAGACUGGAAUUCAUGGUGUAGCAGUGAAAUGCGUAGAGAUCAUGAGGAAGACCAGUGGCGAAGGCGGCUUCCUGGCCUGCUCUUGACGCUGAGGCGCGAAAGCUAGGGUAGCAAACGGG